GAGCACGCCGCGUGAGUGAUGAAGGCUUUCGGGUCGUAAAACUCUGUUGUUAGGGAAGAACAAGUGCUAGUUGAAUAAGCUGGCACCUUGACGGUACCUAACCAGAAAGCCACGGCUAACUACGUGCCAACAGCCGCGGUAAUACGUAGGUGGCAAGCGUUAUCCGGAAUUAUUGGGCGUAAAGCGCGCGCAGGUGGUUUCUUAAGUCUGAUGUGAAAGCCCACGGCUCAACCGUGGAGGGUCAUUGGAAACUGGGAGACUUGAGUGCAGAAGAGGAAAGUGGAAUUCCAUGUGUAGCGGUGAAAUGCGUAGAGAUAUGGAGGAACACCAGUGGCGAAGGCGACUUUCUGGUCUGUAACUGACACUGAGGCGCGAAAGCGUGGGGAGCAAACAGGAUUAGAUACCCUGGUAGUCCACGCCGUAAACGAUGAGUGCUAAGUGUUAGAGGGUUUCCGCCCUUUAGUGCUGAAG
rnacentral:rRNA from 1 species